ensembl:snoRNA
AAGUCUUUGAAGUUCAUGAGCAUGCUGACUGGGUAUCUAUUUCAUGUGUGAGAUGUGCCUUUCUCAAACUUUGUUAUGACACAGGCAUAUUACCUAUGUGACA